rnacentral:rRNA from 1 species
ACUGGGGUGAAGUCGUAACAAGGUAGCCGUAUCGGAAGGUGCGGCUGGAUCACCUCCUUUCUAAGGAGAAUUGCCUACUGUUUAAUUUUGAAAGUUCUUUAUGAACUUCAUAUUUGGGGGUGUAGCUCAGUUGGGAGAGCACUUGCCUUGCAAGCAAGGGGUCAGGAGUUCGACUCUCCUCAUCUCCACCAUUUAAGAGCAUAUUACUUAAAUCUUUGAUUUAUCUAGUAGUCUCUUACAUUGCACUUUAAGCUUAUUUUUAUACAAGCUUGUGUGUUAGCACUUUAAGCAACGGAAUUUAUUCGUUGGCACCGUGCUUUAGCACUUUGAAAACUGCAUAUAUAUUUAGUGAUAUGACAUCUAAUUUGUAAUAUAUAAAGCUGAUAACUUUUUAAAAUUAUCGAAGUUGAUAGCUUCUAAUCUAUCAAACCUUUUUAACUGGUCAAGUUAUUAAGGGUGCAGGGCGGAUGCCUUGGCACUAGGAGCCGAUGAAGGACGUGAUAAGCUGCGAUAAGCUUCGGGGAGUUGCACGUAAACUUUGAUCCGAAGAUUUNUUAAGUACUCCGCCUGGGAAGUACGCUCGCAAGAGUGAAACUCAAAGGAAUUGACGGGGACCCGCACAAGUAGCGGAGCAUGUGGUUUAAUUCGAAGCAACGCGAAGAACCUUACCUAAGCUUGACAUCCCAAUGACAUCUCCUUAAUCGGAGAGUUCCCUUCGGGGACAUUGGUGACAGGUGGUGCAUGGUUGUCGUCAGCUCGUGUCGUGAGAUGUUGGGUUAAGUCCCGCAACGAGCGCAACCCUUGUCUUUAGUUGCCAUCAUUAAGUUGGGCACUCUAGAGAGACUGCCAGGGAUAACCUGGAGGAAGGUGGGGAUGACGUCAAAUCAUCAUGCCCCUUAUGCUUAGGGCUACACACGUGCUACAAUGGGUAGUACAGAGGGUUGCCAAGCCGUAAGGUGGAGCUAAUCCCUUAAAGCUACUCUCAGUUCGGAUUGUAGGCUGAAACUCGCCUACAUGAAGCUGGAGUUACUAGUAAUCGCAGAUCAGAAUGCUGCGGUGAAUGCGUUCCCGGGUCUUGUACACACCGCCCGUCACACCACGGGAGUUGGAGACGCCCGAAGCCGAUUAUCUAACCUUUUGGAAGAAGUCGUCGAAGGUGGAAUCAAUAACUGGGGUGAAGUCGUAACAAGGUAGCCGUAUCGGAAGGUGCGGCUG